rnacentral:misc_RNA from 1 species
GCAAACUUGGUCAUUUAGAGGAAGUAAAAGUCGUAACAAGGUAUCCGUAGGUGAACCUGCGGAUGGAUCAUUACCAAUUUAAUUGUUCUGCAAGGCUACUAGUAGUCUUGUGGGACUAACCCUCAAUGUAAACCGUUGAACCUUCUUACCUACUUAUUGUAACACGUGGUUGACUGGAGGGGGCUUCGGCCCGCAAUAGCAGCCACUUGUUGCAGUAUUUACAUAUACUACUCGUAUAUACUACCAACCAAUCAAACACACUAUAUGAUAUUCUUUUUAUGGGCGGAGUGGCUAACACCCUCGGCUUUAAAAAAACAAAUAACAUAAUACAACUUUCAGCAAUGGAUCUCUAGGCUCUCGCAUCGAUGAAGAACGCAGC